rnacentral:rRNA from 1 species
AGCAGCCGCGGUAAUUCCAGCUCCAAUAGCGUAUAUUAAAGUUGCUGCAGUUAAAAAGCUCGUAGUUGAAUUUCGGGAUCAAUAUGUUGGUCGUGCCUCGGUACGUACUGGCUUAUUGGUUUCUCCCUUCUGACGAACCAUGAUGUCAUUUAUUUGGUGUUAUGGGGAAUCAGAACUGUUACUUUGAAAAAAUUAGAGUGUUUAAAGCAGGCUCACGCUUGAAUACAUUAGCAUGGAAUAAUGAAAUAGGACGUUUGAUUCUAUUUUGUUGGUUUCUAGGAUCGACGUAAUGAUUAAUAGGGAUAGUUGGGGGCAUUAGUAUUCAAUUGUCAGAGGUGAAAUUCUUGGAUUUAUUGAAGACUAACUACUGCGAAAGCAUUUGCCAAGGAUGUUUUCAUUAAUCAAGAACGAAAGUUAGGGGAUCGAAGACGAUCAGAUACCGUCGUAGUCUUAACCAUAAACUAUGCCGACUAGGGAUCGGAUGAUGUUGAUUUUUUAAUGACUCAUUCGGCACCUUACG